GGGGGAUCGACGGCUCUUUUAUUUUUAGACGACCUUUUUCGAAGGUAUACUUAAAGAGGGGCUUGCGGCACAUUAGUUAGUUGGUAGGGUAAAAGCCUACCAAGACUAUGAUGUGUAGCUGGACUGAGAGGUUGAACAGCCACAUUGGGACUGAGACACGGCCCAAACUCCUACGGGAGGCAGCAGUAGGGAAUUUUCGGCAAUGGAGGAAACUCUGACCGAGCAACGCCGCGUGAACGAUGAAGUAUUUCGGUAUGUAAAGUUCUUUUAUUGAAGAAGAAAAAAUAGUGGAAAAACUAUCUUGACGAUAUUCAAUGAAUAAGCCCCGGCAAACUAUGUGCCAGCAGCCGCGGUAAUACAUAGGGGGCGAGCGUUAUCCGGAAUUAUUGGGCGUAAAGGGUGCGUAGGCGGUUUGGUAAGUCUAUAGUUUAAUUUCAGUGCUUAACACUGUUCUGCUAUAGAAACUAUCAGACUAGAGUGAGAUAGAGGCAAGUGGAAUUCCAUGUGUAGCGGUAAAAUGCGUAAAUAUAUGGAGGAACACCAGAGGCGUAGGCGGCUUGCUGGGUCUUUACUGACGCUGAGGCACGAAAGCGUGGGGAGCAAACAGGAUUAGAUACCCUGGUAGUCCACGCCGUAAACGAUGAGUACUAAGUGUCGGGGAAACUCGGUACUGAAGUUAACACAUUAAGUACUCCGCCUGAGUAGUACGUACGCAAGUAUGAAACUUAAAGGAAUUGACGGGACUCCGCACAAGCGGUGGAUCAUGUUGUUUAAUUCGAAGAUACACGAAAAACCUUACCAGGUCUUGACAUACUCUGCAAAGCUAUAGCAAUAUAGUGGAGGUUAUCAGGGAUACAGGUGGUGCAUGGUUGUCGUCAGCUCGUGUCGUGAGAUGUUAGGUUAAGUCCUAAAACGAGCGCAACCCUUGUCACUAGUUGCCAGCAUGUUAUGAUGGGCACUUUAGUGAGACUGCCAAUGAAAAAUUGGAGGAAGGUGAGGAUCACGUCAAAUCAUCAUGCCCCUUAUGAUCUGGGCUACAAACGUGAUACAAUGGCUGUUACAAAGAGUAGCUAAAACGCGAGUUUAUAGCCAAUCUCAUAAAAGCAGUCUCAGUUCGGAUUGAAGUCUGCAACUCGACUUCAUGAAGUUGGAAUCGCUAGUAAUCGCGAAUCAGCAUGUCGCCGUAG
rnacentral:rRNA from 1 species